rnacentral:rRNA from 1 species
GACGAACGCUGGCGGCGUGCUUAACACAUGCAAGUCGAACGGAAAGGCCCUGCUUUUGUGGGGUGCUCGAGUGGCGAACGGGUGAGUAACACGUGAGUAACCUGCCCUUGACUUUGGGAUAACUUCAGGAAACUGGGGCUAAUACCGGAUAGGAGCUCCUGCUGCAUGGUGGGGGUUGGAAAGUUUCGGCGGUUGGGGAUGGACUCGCGGCUUAUCAGCUUGUUGGUGGGGUAGUGGCUUACCAAGGCUUUGACGGGUAGCCGGCCUGAGAGGGUGACCGGCCACAUUGGGACUGAGAUACGGCCCAGACUCCUACGGGAGGCAGCAGUGGGGAAUAUUGCACAAUGGGCGGGAGCCUGAUGCAGCAACGCCGCGUGCGGGAUGACGGCCUUCGGGUUGUAAACCGCUUUCGCCUGUGACGAAGCGUGAGUGACGGUAAUGGGUAAAGAAGCACCGGCUAACUACGUGCCAGCAGCCGCGGUGAUACGUAGGGUGCGAGCGUUGUCCGGAUUUAUUGGGCGUAAAGGGCUCGUAGGUGGUUGAUCGCGUCGGAAGUGUAAUCUUGGGGCUUAACCCUGAGCGUGCUUUCGAUACGGGUUGACUUGAGGAAGGUAGGGGAGAAUGGAAUUCCUGGUGGAGCGGUGGAAUGCGCAGAUAUCAGGAGGAACACCAGUGGCGAAGGCGGUUCUCUGGGCCUUUCCUGACGCUGAGGAGCGGAAGCGUGGGGAGCGAACAGGCUUAGAUACCCUGGUAGUCCACGCUGUAAACGGUGGGUACUAGGUGUGGGGUCCAUUCCACGGGUUCCGUGCCGUAGCUAACGCUUUAAGUACCCCGCCUGGGGAGUACGGCCGCAAGGCUAAAACUCAAAGGAAUUGACGGGGCCCCGCACAAGCGGCGGAGCAUGCGGAUUAAUUCGAUGCAACGCGUAGAACCUUACCUGGGUUUGACAUGGAUCGGGAGUGCUCAGAGAUGGGUGUGCCUCUUUUGGGGUCGGUUCACAGGUGGUGCAUGCCUGUCGUCAGCUCGUGUCGUGAGAUGUUGGGUUAAGUCCCGCAACGAGCGCAACCCUUGUUCACUGUUGCCAGCACGUUAUGGUGGGGACUCAGUGGAGACCGCCGGGGUCAACUCGGAGGAAGGUGGGGAUGACGUCGAGUCAUCAUGCCCCUUAUGUCCAGGGCUUCACGCAUGCUACAAUGGCUGGUACAGAGAGUGGCGAGCCUGUGAGGGUGAGCGAAUCUCGGAAAGCCGGUCUCAGUUCGGAUUGGGGUCUGCAACUCGACCUCAUGAAGUCGGAGUCGCUAGUAAUCGCAGAUCAGCAACGCUGCGGUGAAUACGUUCCCGGG